rnacentral:rRNA from 1 species
GUGGGGAAUUUUGGACAAUGGGCGAAAGCCUGAUCCAGCCAUUCCGCGUGCAGGAUGAAGGCCCUCGGGUUGUAAACUGCUUUUGUACAGAACGAAAAAGCUCCGGCUAAUACCUGGAGUCCAUGACGGUACUGUAAGAAUAAGCACCGGCUAACUACGUGCCAGCAGCCGCGGUAAUACGUAGGGUGCAAGCGUUAAUCGGAAUUACUGGGCGUAAAGCGUGCGCAGGCGGUUUUGUAAGACAGAGGUGAAAUCCCCGGGCUCAACCUGGGAACUGCCUUUGUGACUGCAAGGCUGGAGUGCGGCAGAGGGGGAUGGAAUUCCGCGUGUAGCAGUGAAAUGCGUAGAUAUGCGGAGGAACACCGAUGGCGAAGGCAAUCCCCUGGGCCUGCACUGACGCUCAUGCACGAAAGCGUGGGGAGCAAACAGGAUUAGAAACCCGUGUAGUCC